GCGACCCUAGGUCAGGCGGG
rnacentral:rRNA from 11 species